GCGCCUCCUAUUUCCUAAUUCCUCAUUCCUAAUCUGCGCCGCACAGCUUGAAGCCAAGAAGCCCCCAAUCUCCAAGUCUGCAUCCACCCGUCGCCGACUCGCCGCUGCCCCACCCGUCUCCCCCAACACCGCGGUGCCUCUGCUGUUCUGCGCGCUGCUGCUGUCGCUGCUGCAUCUGAUCUGCACCGGUCGCCGCGCCUGCUCCAGAGCCUGCAUCGCCGCCUGCAUCUGCACCGGUCGCCGCCCCUGCUCCAGACCGCCUGCAUCUGCACCGCGCCUCCCUGCAACCUGCCGGCCGCAGAUCUGCUCGCCGCCUGCUCCAGAGC
rnacentral:lncRNA from 1 species